rnacentral:rRNA from 1 species
UUUUUGAUAAUAAUUUAAAGUUGGGCCUGCCCACUGAAUUUUGAAGGGCCGCAGUAUUUUGACUGUGCAAAGGUAGCAUAAUCAUUAGUUUUUUAAUUGAAAGCUUGUAUGAAUGGUUUGAUGAGAAAAUUUCUGUCUCAAUUUUAAUAUAUAGAAUUUUAUUUUUAAGUUAAAAAGCUUAAAUAAACUUUAAAGACGAGAAGACCCUAUAGAGUUUAACUAAAAAUAAUUUUUGAAAUUUAAGAAUUAAUUUUUUUAAAGAUUAUUUAAGUUUUGUUGGGGUGACAGAAAAAUUAAGUAAACUUUUUUUUUAUAAAAACAUUAAUUUAUGAAUACUUGAUCCAUUGUUAUGAUUAAAAGAUUAAAUUACCUUAGGGAUAACAGCGUAAUCUUUUUUGAAAGUUCUUAUUGAAAAAGGGGGUUGCGACCUCGAUGUUGGAUUAAAAUUAAUUUUUGGUGCAGAAGCUAAAAAAUUGGGUCUGUUCGACCUUUAAAAUUUUACA